rnacentral:rRNA from 1 species
UUCGGAGAGUUUGAUCCUGGCUCAGGAUGAACGUUGGCGGCGUGCCUAACACAUGCAAGUCGAACGAACAGCCAGAAUCUUCGGAAUCUGGCGGGUUAGUGGCGCACGGGUGAGUAACACGUAGGUGACCUGCCCCGAAGUGGGGGAUAACCACUGGAAACGGUGGCUAAUACCGCAUGUGCUUGGCCAUUCGGUUGGUCAAGUAAAGCUCCGGCGCUUCGGGAGGGGCCUGCGGUCGAUUAGCUAGUUGGUGGGGUAAUGGCCCACCAAGGCGAUGAUCGAUAGGGGGCGUGAGAGCGUGACCCCCCACACUGGGACUGAGACACGGCCCAGACUCCUACGGGAGGCAGCAGUGAGGAAUAUUGCACAAUGGGCGCAA